GCUUGUCUCAAAGAUUAAGCCAUGCAUGUGUAAGUAUAAAUAACUCUAUACUAUGAAACUGCGAAUGGCUCAUUAUAUCAGUUAUAGUUUAUUUGAUAAUACUUUACUACUAGGAUAACCGUAGUAAUUCUAGAGCUAAUACUUGCGUAAAAACCUGACUUCUGGAAGGGUUGUAUUUAUUAGAUUAAAACCAAUUCGUUCUCGGACGAUAUUGUGGUGAGUCAUAAUAACUUAUCGGAUCGCAGUGGCUUUGCCGGCGAUGAAUCAUUCAAGUUUCUGCCCUAUCAGCUUGGCUACCACAUCCAAGGAAGGCAGCAGG
rnacentral:rRNA from 1 species